rnacentral:rRNA from 1 species
GACGAACGCUGGCGGCGUGCUUAACACAUGCAAGUCGAACGGAAAAGCCCUGCUUUUGUGGGGUGCUCGAGUGGCGAACGGGUGAGUAACACGUGAGUAACCUGCCCUUGACUUUGGGAUAACUUCAGGAAACUGGGGCUAAUACCGGAUAGGAGCUCCUGCUGCAUGGUGGGGGUUGGAAAGUUUCGGCGGUUAGGGAUGGACUCGCGGCUUAUCAGCUUGUUGGUGGGGUAGUGGCUUACCAAGGCUUUGACGGGUAGCCGGCCUGAGAGGGUGACCGGCCACAUUGGGACUGAGAUACGGCCCAGACUCCUACGGGAGGCAGCAGUGGGGAAUAUUGCACAAUGGGCGGAAGCCUGAUGCAGCAACGCCGCGUGCGGGAUGACGGCCUUCGGGUUGUAAACCGCUUUCGCCUGUGACGAAGCGUGAGUGACGGUAAUGGGUAAAGAAGCACCGGCUAACUACGUG